AGCCAGUUUCCCCCAUUAUUAACAUCUUAAUUAGUAGGGUACAUUUGUCCCAAUUAAUGAACCAAUAUUGAUACAUAAUUAUGAAUGCAAGUCUGUAGUUUAUUCAGAUUUCUGCUGAGAGGACCUCAGCUUUUCUCUUAAGGCCUUCAACUGAUUGGAUAAGUCUCACCCACGUUUUUUUUUUUUUUUUCACCCACGUUUUGGGAUGUAAUCUACUUUCAUCAGAGUCUAUUGAUUCCAUAGUAGUCACUUCUAAAAAAUAUCUUCAUAGAAUCAUCUAGACUUGUGCUUGACCAAACAGCUGGGCCAUGGCCUAGCCAAGCGGACACAUAAAAUUAACCAGCACUGACAGUACAGGGAGUCCCUAUAAAUCUCAUAGUUGCUCCUCUUACAAAUAUCUUACAUUAUCAUGACAUAUUUGUUACAAUGAAUGAACCAAUAUUGGUACAAUUAUUUUUCACUAAACUCCGUUCUUUAUUCAGAUUUCCUCAUUUCCUUGUCUAAUGUCCUUUGUCUAUGAUGCAGGUUUCGUGUUUCCUUACGUUCCUCUUGGUUGUGACAGUUUCGCAGACUUUCCCUGUUGUCCCUGACCUCCAGAGCUCCGAACAUUGCUGGCCAGAUACUCUGUAGACUGGUCGGGCCCAGCACGGAGAGGAUCUUCAUGAGGAUUCAAGGAAAUCACGUAUAUGAGCGUCUAACACCAGUGCCCACCCGAUAUGAAAUGCACUUCCAUAGUAGGGAAACGGCUGACGUGUGAGACUCCAGUAUUUCCACCUUCAAACAUCUCAGAAAUAGCUACUCAUACCCAAAACUGGUUGCCAAAUCCUCUGCAGCCCAUGCCCUCGAUUGAGGGCGUGGAAAAUAGAGCCAAUACGCAGCCCUUGCAGCACACGGGGAAGAGCUUGCUCGGGGAGCUUUCAGAGGACGCCGCGUUCAAUUCAGCCCCGAAGGCAGAACUGAUUCAUCCAGCAUGACCCCCUCCAGGUCCCUCCACGUCGAAGCACAUGGUGGGUAUUUGUCGCUUCUAACGGCUGAGGAACAUCCCAGGGUACGCGCGGACCACAGCGUCUCUAUCCAUUCACCCCUCGCCUUUCUCUUAUGCAACAGCGAGAGCAGCAACGGCCAAGACCGAGCCCCUCAGGGGAGAACAGCCCCGUUACUAAGCCGUACACUCAGGUGAAAACCUAAGCCCCAAAUCUCCGUAUCCCCCAGAUAGACGGGGGAGCCUGUGGCCCGCACCGAGGCGCUGGCAAGCCUGUUCCUCCUGCAGCGGAGCUUCCCGAGGCUGCACUCACUCGGGUGGAUCAUGCAGCUCCGUGUUGUUGGAGCCGUUCCCGUCCUGGUCCUGCCGUUGGCCGGUCGGUGUGCAGAGCCUCCGCCGUCGGGUAGACCAAGGGCAAGACCAAAGUGCCUCCGGGACCAGAGGAAACGCAGGCUGGGCGCAAAUCAGCAAGACCCUCGCAGAACGCGGGGGUGAGUGGGGCCGAGGCAGAGGGGGAGGGAGAACGUUAGCAGGUUCCACACCCCGCAUGGAGCCUGACGGGGCCUCGAUCUCCCAACCCGGAGAGCGCGCCCGGAGCCAAAACGUUCAAGUUACAUUCUGUGUGUGGCUUUUUUUUUUUUCCCCAAGAGUUCAACGUACUUCUUUUAUUAGUAAUUCUUGAUCUUGGAGGAUUUCCCCCUUUUAUUUCAUCAAUGUUGCUCAUAAACCGUCACAUCAACUAUUACAUUAUUAUCACGGGUAGCGUAAGCAAACAGCUCCUUGCGACCGAUCUAAGGCAGCACUGGUUUUUGAAUUAAAUUACUGAAAUGUAUCCCGCACAAAGAGGAGUGUGCAAAUCGUCAGCCUAAAAAAUAAAAUAAAAAAUAAAACGGAAUAAACAAGAACAAAUCGUCAGCCUAUUUCUCAGUAUAAGCCGUCCCCACGGUCAGCGGGGCAUUCCCAGCACGGCAAAGAAGAUGCGGGGCAUAGAUACACACACGCUGGAACGUCAGCCAUCGGAGGAACGAAGUCUUGCCAUUUGAGGUGACGUGGAUGGAACGAGAGUGGGUCACACUCAGUGAAGUGAGUCAGAGAAAGACAAAUGCCACGUGAUCUCGCUCAUAUGUGGAAUUUAAGAAGCGAAACAGAGGAACACGUGGGAAGGGGGAGGAGGGGUGGGAAUCACUCAUGGGGGCUGAUGGAGGGAGGUGGGGGACGGGCACGAAGGAGGGCACGUGUUGCGUGUGAGUGAUGAAUCACUGAAUUCGACUCCUGACACCAGUAUCGUGCUGUAUGUCAACGAACUAGAAUUUACAUGAAAAUUUAAACAGAGGGCAGCCCGGGCGGCUUCAGCCCAGGGCGUGACCCUGGAGUCGCGAGAUCGAGUCCCGCAUCGGGCUCCCUGCAGGGAGCCUGCUUCUCCCCCUGCCUGUGUCUCUGCCUCUCUCUCUCUCUGUCUCGGUGUCUCUCAUGAAUAAAUAAAUAAAAUCUUAAAAAAAAAGAAAAUUUAAACAGAGACAGAAUCAUAAGUACAGGGAACUAACUAGAAAUCACCAGAGCGCAGGGAGUUGGGGGGUCGGGGGCAAAACAGGCGAUGAAGAGGCUCGAACGCACGGUUGUAACAGAGAGGAGUCACGGGAAGGAGGAGGUCGGCACAGGGAUCAUAGCCAGCGAUGCCGGGACGACGUCGGACGGCGACAGUGGCAGCCACGGUCAUCACGGCGAGCAGAGACGAGCGUGUGGGCCUGUUGAACCAGCAGGCUGGACUCCCGAAGCUAAUACUGCAGGUCAACUAUGCUCCAGUAAAAAAAAAAAACAAAAAAAAAAAACAAAAAUAAAAAUAAAGGGAUCCCUGGGUGGCGCAGCGGUUUGGCGCCUGCCUUUGGCCCAGGGCGCGAUCCUGGAGACCCGGGAUCGAGUCCCACGUCGGGCUCCUGGUGCA